rfam:Canis lupus familiaris chromosome X, whole genome shotgun sequence.
AGUGGAUGAUAACACUUCAUCCACUAAAUGCUGAUGCUUUAAGCUCCUGAGUGUGCAAGGGGGGAGUCAACCUUGAAGAGCUAAGCAUGUG